rnacentral:rRNA from 1 species
AUUGAACGCUGGCGGCAGGCCUAACACAUGCAAGUCGGACGGUAGCACAGAGGAGCUUGCUCUUCGGGUGACGAGUGGCGGACGGGUGAGUAAUGUCUGGGAAACUGCCCGAUGGAGGGGGAUAACUACUGGAAACGGUAGCUAAUACCGCAUAACGUCGCAAGACCAAAGUGGGGGACCUUCGGGCCUCACACCAUCGGAUGUGCCCAGAUGGGAUUAGCUGGUAGGCGGGGUAACGGCCAACCUAGGCGACGAUCCCUAGCUGGUCUGAGAGGAUGACCAGCCACACUGGAACUGAGACACGGUCUAGACUCCUACGGGAGGCAGCAGUGGGGAAUAUUGCACAAUGGGCGCAAGCCUGAUGCAGCCAUGCCGCGUGUAUGAAGAAGGCCUUUGGGUUGUAAAGUACUUUCAGCGGGGAGGAAGGUGCUGAGGUUAAUAAGCUCAGCAAUUGACGUUACCCGCAGAAGAAGCACCGGCUAACUCCGUGCCAGCAGCCGCCGUAA